rnacentral:misc_RNA from 1 species
AAAAAAAAAAAAAGGUAGGCAUGUGGGAGAAUACUCCAAAUUCCAACCAACUCAACAGCAGCACAAGAAGCCUGACAGACUCCACAAGAAUUCUUUUAUAUAAGCAUUGAUAUGAAACCCUCAAGGCUCAAUUGGCAAGGCAAAGAGGGGAAUACAAUGCUUAAAUAUCCAGAUCACUCAGCGUAGAUGCAGUUGGCCAAGCCUACAAAAGUUCUUAAAAAAGAGUGUAACUUUUUUAAGCAGUAGCACUGUGUGUUGUCAUUUUGAGUUUGCGUGUGGCCACUUGAAUGACUUUUUUUGUCUAGCUUAGAUAACAAUGCAAUAAUCAAUUUUGUUAAGGAAUACGCAGUCCAAGCUAUUCUCCCAAUAAUGUGUGUGUCCAUUAAAAGAGAGUAAAUUGACAUUUAACAUCCAAUAUCCUAGGCAAGGAAAAGGACCAUUAUUCCUUGGGUUCUGAAAGAU